CACAAAUCAAGCCACACCGGCUACAUACCCGCAAGUUAGUAUACUUAAUACUUUUAACUUAGGCUU
rnacentral:tRNA from 1 species